rnacentral:lncRNA from 10 species
CACACUUAUGCCCCUAACUUUUGAAGAAAAGCAAAAAAGAUUAGUAGGUAAAAGUUGUUUUUCUCUCCCACAAAUCAUCUUUGCUACUCACACACACAUAUACUUUGCAAGUGUUUCCAAAUCUCUGAAAACUUCACAUCUCUUGUCUCAAGCUCUAGGUAUGUACCUGCCUACCAUAGUGUGGUGUCAAAGGGAAGGUGUCUGAGCAAACUUAUUGAUCUUAACCUUUUCUUCUCCACCUAUGGCAGAAGCCACAAAUACCUUAUGUAAAGGGCUUGCAGCUGUGCCCUGUGAAGGAGCACUCCCUCCAGACUGGGCAUGCGUCCUGGCCUCUGUUUGGAAUGCUCUCUUUCUGCCUCAGUUUCCUUCCUGAUGUAUAUAUAUAGACUCAGCCUCUCUGCCCAAGUCUUCUAUGAUGACAGCUCACUAGGCAGGCAGCGUGGAUCUAUGUUCCAGUCUCCUCUUGCAGAUCAGAUACCACCUCUGAGAUCCUUCUCUGCUCCUCACUGACCAAACUCAAGGAACAGAUCUUCCCUGCCCAGGUCUCCAGGACCCCAACCUACCCACUUCUAGGAGAGAAUUCACACAGGUCUUGAGGAAUAGAGACUACAAACAAAUCAAGUCUUCUGUGGGAAUGCUGGGCCAUGGGCUUUGGAAUCACCACCAGUGAUGGAACCCGAAGUAAGCUACUAAACCUCGACAGGCUCAUUCAUGAAUCACCACCAGUGAUGGAACCCCAGGUGGUCCUGAAAGGAGGAGGUGCUUUGCUUCUCUUUUUCGCAGAUGUCAAUUAUGGAUCAACUUCUGAGUCACAUAGAAGAGCACCAUCAAUUGGCCAUUUCUCACCUGAUCACUGAGGAUAUAAAGUGCUUUUCCAGACUCCAGGACUCGGUUCAUUGCUAGUAUCAGGACGCCUCUCAUGUAUGGGAAGCCAGAAACAUCCCAGGAGCCUCACUGACUGCUUGGGCACAGCCCUCUGAGCAGACCUAUGAAGAAACAGAAGGAUUUGUGCCUUUUAGGUAUCUCUGGUCAAAACAGGUAUUUGAAGUUCUGAUUCUGCUAUUAUCUGGCACCUCCACUUGGCCCAUUGCUGGAAAUAUUAGGACUAGAAAACAUCAAGAUCAGGCACCGAACAGGCAAAUCUCCACUGAGUGGUUCUGAUGUGCAAAUAGCUGAUGAAGACUGGUUAUGGUUAUAAAAUGGAACACAGUUUUCUAAUUACAUAGUGUGUGGGUCUCGUGUGUGUGUGUGUGUGCAUGCAUGUGUGUGCAUGUGUGUGUUCGUGUGUGUGUGUGUGCAUGUAUAUCUAAGGUGCUUCACAUUUAGCUCUCAGCUCUCAGAAUGAGUCCACAUUCUGAGGUAAAUCUAUGGUGUUUGAUACCAACCAAUUUGAGAGAAACAUCUGGUGUCAUUUGCUUUUCUAGAUUCAUUUUUAUAUCUCCAAGACAGAGACACAACAAAGCUUUACUUAGGGCCAACUUAUUCUAAAGUUUUAUUGGUAUCUAGAAGUAGACACCCAUGUCUCUUCCACUUCCUUAUUUGAAUAAAAUUAAGUGGGUCUAGUCCUUACCUUAAUUCUCUCUUAAAAAUGCUCAAGAAAACCAAUUUCAAUAGCUGGGCCUAAAACAAUAUUACAAAACUUGGGUGCUAGGAUUAUAACAAGGAUUUUUCCAACCAGCAAGAAACAAAGCAAGACUUUCAAACAGUUUUAUUAUUUUUUAUCUUUUUAAAAAUUGUAUUGGGGUAAAAUACACGUAGCAUAAAAUUUACCAUCUUAACCAUUUUUAGGCCUACAGUUCAGUGGUACUAAGUACAUUCCUAUUGUUAUACGGCCACUACCACUAUCCAUCUCCAGAAUCUUUUCAUCUUCCCAAACUGAAAUUCUGCCUCCAUUAAACAAUAACUCCCCAGUCCCAUCUUUCCCCAGGCCCUGGAAACCACCAUUCUAUUUUCUGUCUUUAUAAAUUUCACUACUCUAGACAUUUCAUAUAAAGAGAAUCAUAUAAUAUGUGUUCUUUUGUGGCUGGCUUAUUUCGCAGAGCAUAAUGUCUUCAAGCUUCAUCCAUGUUGUAGCAUAUGUCAGAAUUACCUUUGUUUUGAGGGUGAAUAAUAUUUCAUCAUAUGUAGAUGCCACAUAUUGUUUACUCACUCAUCCCUCAAUGGACGCUUGGGUUGCAUCCACGUUUUGGCUACUGUGAAAAAUGCUGCUAUGAAUAUGGGUGUACAAACAUCUCUUUGAGACCCUGCUUUCAACUCUUUUGGGUAUAUACCCAAAAGGUUAAUUGGUGGAUCAUACAGUAUUUCUACCUUUAAUUUUUUGAGGACUCACCAUAGUGUUUUCCAUAGCAGUUACAUCAUUUUACAAUCCUACCAAUAAACGGUACACAAGGGUUCCAAUUUUUUCACAUCCUUGCCAACACUUGUUAUUUUAUGUUUUUAGGCUAGCCAUCCUAAUGGGCAUGAGGCCUUCCAAACAGUUUUAUGAUCGACUAAGUUAACCAAGUAAACCAGAUCAAUGACGGGCCAUAACAUCAAUGACCAAAAGAAAGGGGGAUGGAAGACACUCAGAAAGUUCCACCCCAGCCCUUACAACAUUGUUUGAAUGGAGAGUAGAAGGGGACAAGCUCCCAUUUCACAAGGUAAAGUUUAUAGAUUACCUAGAUGUCUUUCAUUGCCACUUGUUCUAGGUCACACACACAAAACCUAACUCAGCAGUCUCAAGUAUAUCAGGAGGAAAAUGAUGCAAGUCUCAGUGAGAGAGAGAGAAAUAGUGAGAGAAAGAGUGAAAAGGAGGAGGAGGAAAAGGAGAAAAGGAAGGAAGAGAGGGAAUAGGAAAGGAGAGGCAAGGAAAGCUUUCACGUAGCAAAUGAAACAGAAUGAAAAGACAAACUACAGAAUAGGAGAAAAUAUUUGCAAACCAUAUAUCUGAUAAGGGAUUACUGUAAUAUCCAAAGUGUAUAAGGAAUUUCUACAACUGAAUAGCAAAAAAUAAAAUAAAAUAAUAACAAAUAACCCUACUAAAAAUGGGCAAAAGACUUGAAUAGACAUUCUCCAAAGAAGACAUGCAAAUGGUCAACAGUUAUAUAAAAAGAUGCUUGACUGGGCGCAGUGGCUCAUGCCUGUAAUCCCAGCACUUUGGGAGGCCGAGGCGGGUGGAUCACCUGAGGUCAGGAGUUCGAGACCAGGCUGGCCAACAUGGUGAAACCCCAUCUCUACUAAAAAUACAAAAAUUAGCCGGGCGUGGUGGCAGACAUCUGUAGUCCCAUUUACUCAGGAGGCUGAAGCAAGAGAAUCACUAGAAUCUGCGAGGUGGAGGUUGCAGUGAGCCAAGAUCGUGCCACUGCACUCCAGCCUGGGCAACAAGAGCAAGACUCCAUCUCAAAAAACAAACAAGCAAACAAAAGAUGCUCAACAUCAUUAAUCAUGAGGGAUAUGGAAAUCAAAACCGCAAUGAGACAUCACCUCAUUAGAGUGUUAGGAUGUCUAUUAGAGAAAAGAAGAUAACACACGCUGGUGAGAAUGUAAAGAAACUGGAAUUCUUCUGCAUUGUUGGUAGGAGUGUAAAUGGUACAACCACUAGGGAAAGCAGAAAGAAGGGUCCUUAAAAAAUUGAAAAUAGAACUACCAUAUGUUUUAGCAAUCCCACUUCUGGGUAUAUACCCAAAAGAAUUGAAAGUAGGAUCUCAAAGAGAUAUUUGUACUCCCACGUUCCUUGCAGCAUUAUUCACAGUAGCCAAAAGGUGGAAGCAACACAGGUGUCCACUGAUAGAUGAAUGGAUAAAGAAAAUGUGGUAUAUAUAUAUAUAUUAUGGAAUAUUAUUCAGCCUUUAAAAAGAAUGAACUCCUGCAAUAUGCAACAACAUAGAUGAACCUAGAGAAACAUUAUGCUAAGUGAAAUACUGUAUAAUUUAACUUACACUUGAUAUUUAAAAGAACUGCUAUGGUCCGAUUAUUUGUUCCCUUCAAAACUCAUGUUGAAACUUAAUCCCCAAUACAGCAAUAUUGAGAGAUUGAUUCCUUAAGAGGUGACUGAGUCAUGAGGGCCCUGCCCUUAUGAAUGUAUUAAUUCAUUCACGUAUUAAUAGGUUAUCAUGGGGGUGGGACUGGUGGCUUUAUAAGAAGAGAGGCCUGAGCUAGCACACUCAGCCCCCUCACCAUGUAAUACCCUGCACUACCUCUGCAGAAGAGUCCUUGCCAGCAAGAAGGCCCUCACCAGAUGUAGCCCCUUGACCUUGGACUUCUUGGCCUGUGUAACUAUAAGAAAUACAUUCCUUUCCUUUAUGAAUUACCCAGUUUCAGGUAUUCUAAGUAACAGAAACUGAACUAAGACAACAGACAAGCUGACGAAAGCAGAGGGUAGAAUGUUGGUUGCCAGGGAUUGAAGGGAGGGGAAAAUGGGGAGUUGCUAUUCAACGGGUAUAAGGUUUCAGUGAUGCAAGAUGAGCAGGUUCUAGAGAGCUGCUGUACAACAUUGUGCCUUUAGUUAACAGUACUGUAUUGUAGACUUAAAACUUUGUUAGGAGGCUAGAUCUCAUGUUCAAUGUUCUCACUACAAGAAAAAAAAAGAAAGAAAAAGGAAAUGUAGUAUUUGUGAAGUUCUAUUGAAUAAAAGCGUGUGCAUAUGGAUGAACUUGGCUGACCUGACAAUAAAAGUCCUAACAUAGAACUUCUUUGAAGAUUGAACAUAUAAUAGGGUCCUAAUUCUCCAUAGUGAAUGGUCUUUUUCAAAAAGAAUACGUGAUCAAAAACUUUCCACAGGCAGAGAUGACUUAAAGCUACUUCACAAAUCUUACUUAUAUACUGUAUACAGUAUUACAUUAUAUACUGUAAUGAGUUGUGAGGGAUAUGUAUUACUUUAAAAUCUUGACUACACAGAUUAUUUAAAUGCUUACAAAUGAAAAGGCUCAUGAGAUAGAGCUUUAUAAUAUUUUUAGAUUAAAUAAAGUUUUUCUGAAGCUAGAGGUUUCAAAUUUGCAGCUACAUUUCUUGUGAGAAAACUAAAAUAGAAUACGUCCAAAACAGCUUGUCCAUAGAAUAGUUAAAAUAAUCCUUCCUGUUUUGCAGAAUUAAGAAUACAUUCAAUGAGUGGAAGGAAAAUGCUAAGUUUCUGAAGACAGACUAGCUAAAACUAAUAGUUAAUAUUUAUUGCUCAUUUAUUAUGCACAUUUGCUCUUUCCAAUAAUUCCUAAGGUGGUUCCUAUUAUUUUCUUCAUUUUAUAAAUCUGGACAAUCAAGUGAUAUUAAACAACUUGACUAAGGUCAUUGGAUUAGUAAAUGCAGAAGAUCACUAAGAACCAAAGCAGUCUGACCCCAGUGCCUAUUCUUACAACUAUUACAUUGCACUAUCUCUCUACAGAUUAAAAAGGAAAACAUCUCAUCUUCAAUUGCCUGAUGAAAUGACCAGUGAUUCCUCUGCUUUGGAGUAAACAAAGUAUAUUACAACAAAUCUCCUCCACUUUUUCCUUCCUUUGCAGGAUUUCUGAAACUUGUCUUCUUGUCAGCUGCUAGCAUAAGAGGAACCAGAAGCCUACUGCCCAUUUGAUUUUUUCCUUAGCAGGGAGAAACAGACUUAGCCCCAGUUUCUAAAAUCUACGGUCUCUUUCACACAGCGAGGAGGAUGCAGCACAUGCAGAGGCUUCAUAAAUCUGAUGAGUGCUGAAAAGAACCAUGCCCUCCAGCAAGGGGGAGCCAGGAAACAUUCUACAGGAAAGUCUGGAGUUUUGACACCUGUUGAGAGACACACCACCCACUAAAGAAAAAAAGGGUGCAGAGCUCUUCUACCCUUAGAUAAUAUGUGUUGGGAAGAAUUAACCAGUUCUGCAGUUUGGUCAAGGUUCAGCAGGGACAGUUUGUCUCUGUUCCACAUAGUAUCAGCUGAGGCAGCUCAACUGAGGAUGGAGGAUGCACUUUCAAGAUUGUUUCCUUGCAAGACUGGCAAGCUUGUAUUGUCAGCUGGACCUCAACUAGGACUGUUGGCCAGGGACCUCUCUCCUCCUCCACAUAGAUCCAUCUAUGUGGCUGUUUGGGUUUUCUGACAAGAUGGCCACAAGUUCCCAAGAGCAAAUAUUCCAAGAAAACAAGCCUCAAUAUGAAAUCACUUAUCAGGCCUCUCCUUGCAUCAUACUUGCCAAAUGUCCCAUUGGCCAAAGAUGGCUCCAUGAUCAAGCCCAGAGUCCAUGUGGGAGGGGACUACACAAGGGUAAGAACUCCAACAGCUGUGGUUCAUUGGGGGUCACCAAACUAAGAGUUUACCACAGAGUGUGGUAACUUUCGUCUCUCCCCAUUAGUAGAGAAAAAUUGAAAAUUGGUAUUAUUUGCCCACUCCCCCAAUUUUUUAAGUCAGAAACUUAAUACCAAUGUUUCCUAAUUUUUAAGUUGGCUUAAGAAAAUUGGAGCCAGGUGUGGUGGCUCACGCCUGUAAUCCCAGCACUUUGGGAGGACGAGGCAGGCGGAUCACGAGGUCAGGAGAUCGAGACCACCCUGGCUAACACAGUGAGACCCCGUCUCUACUAAAAAUACAAAAAAAAUUAGCCGGGCGUGGUGGCGGGCGCCUGUAGU